GAUGAACGCUGGCGGCGUGCCUAACACAUGCAAGUCGAGCGAGAAGUUUUGAAAAGAUUCUUCGGAUGAAAUUUAAAAUGGAAAGCGGCGGACGGGUGAGUAAAGCGUAGGCAACCUGCCCCAUACAAAGGGAUAGCAUUUGGAAACGAAUAUUAAUACCUUAUGAAACUUAACUAGUGCAUGCUAGGUAGGUCAAAGAUUUAUCGGUUUGGGAUGGGCCUGCGUCUGAGUAGCUAGUUGGUGAGGUAACGGCUCACCAAGGCGACGAUCAGUAGCCGACCUGAGGAGGUGAACGGCCACAUUGGAACUGAGGCACGGUCCAAGCUCCUACGGGAAGGAGCAGUGGGGAAUAUUGGACAAUGGGGGGAACCCUGGAGCAGCCACGGCGCGUGAAGGGUGGAGGCCUUUAGGGCGUAAAAUUCUGUUCUAGGUGGUGGAAACUGACAGUACCCUAGGAAAAAGCCCCGGCUAACCCCGUG
rnacentral:rRNA from 1 species